GCCGCGAUGUACAGAGCCGCGAACGCGAACGCAACGUCUCGCAGCAGCACGCAGCAGCAGCACGCAGCAGCAGCAGCACGCAAAACGCAGCACGCAGCAGUUGACCGUUGAGCCUGUCGAGCCGUGCGCUCGCCCUGUCGCAAGCAGAACUAUCUUUCGUUUUCGUAAUGCUUAUCAAAACUUGCUACAAUUAAUAAUAACAAUUAUAAAAUAAUAACAACAAUAAUAAUUAUAAUAGCUGGUAAUACUUACCUAACCAAAUUGCAACCUGUAUGUGGUAUAAAUCGUAAUUAAGUACAUAUGCACACACUACGAACUUAACUCAGCUGCUGCAUAUGCCGGAUAUCAUAUUCAUAUCGCCAAAACAAAGGAGAGAAAAUUAAAGGAAUACUUUGAAAGCAACAGCAAUGAUAAAAACAAAUAAAAUAACAACAAGGUGCAGGGUCAACUAAGUUGCGAAUAUUUAAUAAUUUUUUAGAUAAAUACUCAAAAGAAUAAGCAACAACAAGAACAUAAAAUAAUAAUAUUAAUAUUAAUAAUAAUAAUAAUAAUAAUUAAAACCAAAACCAAAGCAAACCUAAGCCAGCCACAAUUUAGCUAGAGACAUAUGAAAAAUACAAAUUAAAAUAAUUAACAAUAACAAAUAAUUAACAAGCAAAUAUACAACAAAUUACAGCAAGGCAAUAAUAAUUAAUAGCUCAAAAAACAAAUAAAGGAUAAUUACGAUUAACUGAAUUGUUUACGCGCAACUUAUGUUUUAUUAGAAGACGAACAGCAACAACACAAGAACACUUAACAAUAAUUAGCAUUAAAUGGUUAACAACAUGAAAAUUAAUUAAUUAAUAGUUAAAAAAAAAAGAAAUUGACAUAGUAAAUUACAAAAUAUGAUAAACUUAUUUCAAUUGAAUUUAAACCAAUUUACGCCAUUGUGAUUCUUAAUUUUAGACAUUAUGCAAAAAAAAAACUCCAAACUAAAUAAGACCCAAGAAAAAAACACGGUCAAAUUGCAAUUCUAAAAGAACAAAAAACCCAAGAUUGCAUCUUAACAAAAAGCUUUAAAUAAACAAAAA